GACGCGCACGCAUAGCGUACGUGAGAGCGAGAGUAUGCGCGCAAAGAGAGCGCACACAGAGACCGCGUGCACGGGAGCGGGAGUGGCUUGAAGCUGAGUUGAGUUGCGUUGCCGUAUAGCCAUUGAGCAGUUCAGUUUUGAGCGCAACAGCGAACGUGGCGCGCGCGUGUGAGAUUUUUUUGUAGCAGCCGCAGCAGCAGCAGCAGGCAGCAGCAACGAAAAAGGUACGAAACGAAACGACGAUAAGCAAGCGGCGGCAGUCGACGGCGACAGCAGCGCACGCUGGUCUCUGCUCAAAUACAGUCGAAAAAGCGAGCUCAAAACAAUUUCAUUUCAUUUUUUUAACUUCUGUUUUACGUUUGCCGCUGUUUCUUUGCGCGUGUUCGGCUGCAGCAACUGCAACGCAACGACGCGACGCGCGCGUUUUACGCACAGCUGCAACGGCAACA